UGUUAUUUCUGCUUGAACAGGCUCCUGGGUGUGAACACCUCGUCCCUAGCUGGUGGUGCUGUUUUGGGGAGAUUCUCGAGUCUAGACAGUGGAGGCAUUUUACUACAGUUAUGGAAAGCUAACUGAUGCAUUCCUAUGCCAUCUCUUGAGGGCCUGGCUUUUUCUUACCUGGACCCCAGGCUGAGCGAUGAAAUGCUGAUCUGUAGCCUCCACUGCCAGCUCCAGACAGUUGCUCCCACCCCAGGCUUCACAGGAGUAGACCAGUAGCUGUUCUGCCAAGUCUUCAUCACUGCUGUAACACUCGGUGAACAACUCUGUCUCAUCGGGUAACAUCCAGGAUACAGGGAUAAAGAGAAUGAGAACACCGGAAGGCCUGAGACAUAUAACUAAGGCUGUGUGAAUCCAGCAGCCAAGGGCUGAAGUGGAGACAGAAGCACAGAAGCUUCGACGGAAGUUUGCCACCAACUUCCAGACAAAGGUGAGGAGUGCGUCGUUGUAGGAGUUCUUGGCGAUCUGCAGGUUCCGGUACACUAGGGUGCUGAAGUGGGUGGAGAAGAGCUCUGUGAGGACUUCAUUGGUGAGAAACUUCUGCAGGUUCAGGCCAUUCUCCAGAAAGAGGCGGACAAACUUGGGCCUGUCCUUUAUGAGGGCGGUGAACAUGACCUCCUGAAGGUCGGCGGACUAAAGAGACAGAACAGAGGAGAGCUCAUACCACCAGGCCAACGAAGAAAACACAGAGUCUCUGCAUUCCAGCCACAACAUCCUAGCAUCUUCAGCUUCUCUCUCCAUCCUGCUUUGACAAUAGAAUUCAUAUGUUCAGCAUCUAGACGGUAAAGCAGCACAGUGGAGCCUUUGAAUGUGGGAACGCACUUUGAAUACGAAGGCACUUAUGUGGUGAUAGCACGCCCACUUAAGCAUGACAUGGGUCAGGAACCAACUUUGGCAGAAAGAGCAUCAGGGAGGAGAAGCCACCAGUGGGAGUCUACAGUAAAUACUGUGAACCAGCUGUCAGUGCUGCCUAUCCACACCAUGGGCUCUGCUGCCCUUCUUAGGUAAAAACCUCACCUUCUCUACAGUGGCAGAGUUCUCAGACAGUUGCCAAAAUGAAACCCAUCAAGCCACAUACUGUCAAGCAAGGAUCUGGGGUGUCACAACAGCAAAUCACUGGAACACUAGGUGCUGGCUACCUGUGUCAGUGUGUCCUGAGUGUCUGGUAAAAUGGUCCUACUGAGAUUU
ensembl:antisense 4930453O03Rik uncharacterized LOC110289381